GAUGCCCCAAAAGCCCAGCUUCAGUCCCGAUGGACGGUUGACCAGGACGGACCGUCAAUCGAUCCACGGUCCGUAGGUCUGACCGUAGAUGAGGUUCAACAGCCAGUUAGCUGAAAAUUGUUGAUGGAUCAACUUCAGAUGGUCAUAAAUUUUAGCACAAAAAGAAUUGUGUGUCCCAUGACUUAUGAUAUGAUAUAUAAUGGAAUUAUCUUUCCAACGGC
rnacentral:lncRNA from 1 species